GUCUAUGGCCAUGCCGCCCUGAACACGCCUGAUCUUGUCUGAUCUUGGAAGCUAAGCAGGGUCAGGCCUGGUAAGUACUUGGGUGGGAGACCACCUAGGAAGACCAGGUGCUGUAGGCU
rnacentral:rRNA from 1 species